rnacentral:lncRNA from 1 species
UUUGAAAUUGUAUAUAGAUAUUAACUAAAUGAAAAAAACUUACUGUACAUAAUAAUUAUAAAAAACAAAGGAAGUGACAAAAAUGAAAAUUUAAACAUAUUUGUUGAUCAAUUCUCUAACUUCUUCGAUGACAAGCCAUCCUUUGUGACCUCCAAUCACUUCUUCUUUCAUCUCAUCCUCCAUCCAUAGCUGCAUUAGACCAUUAUUACUAUUAUUUUCAUUUACCUUAUUACAUUAUUUUCUUAAUUGUCUCAAAUGCAUCUCUGAAACUCAAAACAAUUUGUAUAGCAAGAAAGCAUUAUUACCUGAAUGGUGGGCAUUUUCUGCAUGAUACAUGAAUAUGGAAACUGGUUAAGGUCUGGCACAUACCAAGUCAGAAGAAGAAUAAAGAGUUAUGUGUGAUUGUUUAAGCAUCUUACCGA